CGAGAAUAAAAAUGCAGCAUUGGGAUCAAUUUUUUAUAAGAGUAAAGAUCUAAUAAGCUGCUAAAUGCAGAAAAUUAUAGUGCUUCGGCUAAAGAAAAGCCAACCCUAAUCAAGAGAUAUCCAAGGCAUCAGACUGAUGAGUUACAAAGGCAAGUUUACAUUUUGUAACCACAUGUCCGACACAAUUGGCGCCAAAUGAUUGAGCACAGUUAAUACAUAAAGAUGCAAUGAUCAAGAUCAUAAGUCAGAGGCCAGCCCUGCGAACAAGUUCCACAAAUGUGCUUCACAUAGGAUUUUCACUGAGCCACAGCAUUAUUUCUCUGGAUGAGUAUCAAGAUAGUAUUUUCAACGUAUCAAAGUAUUAAAAACCUGAGGACAGUUCACAACCAUUAUUGUCUCGUUGGAGUCACAGAUUUACUUAAAUGGACAAUAAAUAGAUUGGUUGUCCAAAUAAGUAUGUAAAAGCAUAAGUUCAACCAGCAAGCUACCAGUCGAGGCAAGAAGAACUCCUCAAGUCAUUUUAGGCUUUAGAGGUUACCCUAGCAGGUUAAAACAGAGCCAGUAAAAGUAACAGUAGAUAUAAUGUAGAUUUGAGAGCUCAAUCAUCAUGGCUUUGCCAGCAUGGCGCCAUUUGAGAGCCUUUGAAUGAAAUUCAUGGAGUCAAGAUAAAUAUGGAUGCAAAGCUGUGUCCCAGGUACCACAGGUAUAUGCUAAUAACAUGACGCCAUUUGAAUGAACGGUCUGCUUGCAAGCAUGGCACUACCAUGUGGCUAUGGGCAACUCAAUCCAUGAUGCGAACCACAAGGAAGAUAAAAAUAAGGAUGACCAUAUGGCAAAGAUAAGAGAAACCGGUUAUUUGUUAUCUAUAAGCAUAGGAGGAAAACAAUUUAUUCAUCAACUUUCUGACUUCCAAGGAUGAAAUCUAAUGGAUAUCAUAUAUGUACCUUUCUAGGUCCCAAAACCAGAGAACUGGCA
rnacentral:lncRNA from 1 species